UACAGAGGUCUCAAGCGUUGUUCGGAUUCAUUGGGCGUAAAGGGUGCGUAGGCGGCGCGGUAAGUCGGAUGUGAAAUCUCGGAGCUUAACUUCGAAACUGCAUUCGAUACUGCCGUGCUUGAGGACUGGAGAGGAGACUGGAAUUUACGGUGUAGCGGUGAAAUGCGUAGAUAUCGUAAGGAAGACCAGUGGCGAAGGCGGGUCUCUGGACAGUUCCUGACGCUGAGGCGCGAAGGCCAGGGGAGCAAACGGG
rnacentral:rRNA from 1 species